GACGAGUCUCACGAACGUUAUUCGGAAUUACUGGGCUUAAAGGGUGCGUAGGCGGUGAAGUAAGUCGGGUGUGAAAUACCAUAGCUUAACUAUGGAACUGCACUCGAUACUACUUUGCUAGAGUAAGACAGAGGUGCGUGGAACUGAGGGUGGAGCGGUGAAAUGCGUAGAUAUCAGGAGGAAUACCGGUGGUGUAGACGGCUCUCUGGACCGCCACUGACGCUGAGACACGAAAGCGUGGGUAGCAAACAGG
rnacentral:rRNA from 1 species